rnacentral:rRNA from 1 species
UAGUCUGGCGGGCAGCUACCAUGCAAGUCGAGCGGUAACAGAUCCAGCUUGCUGGAUGCUGACGAGCGGCGGACGGGUGAGUAAUGCAUAGGAAUCUGCCCGAUAGUGGGGGAUAACCUGGGGAAACCCAGGCUAAUACCGCAUACGUCCUACGGGAGAAAGGGGGCUUCGGCUCCCGCUAUCGGAUGAGCCUAUGUCGGAUUAGCUAGUUGGUGAGGUAACGGCUCACCAAGGCCACGAUCCGUAGCUGGUCUGAGAGGAUGAUCAGCCACAUCGGGACUGAGACACGGCCCGAACUCCUACGGGAGGCAGCAGUGGGGAAUAUUGGACAAUGGGGGGAACCCUGAUCCAGCCAUGCCGCGUGUGUGAAGAAGGCCCUCGGGUUGUAAAGCACUUUCAGCGAGGAAGAACGCCUAGCGGUUAAUACCCGCUAGGAAAGACAUCACUCGCAGAAGAAGCACCGGCUAACUCCGUGCCAGCAGCCGCGGUAAUACGGAGGGUGCAAGCGUUAAUCGGAAUUACUGGGCGUAAAGCGCGCGUAGGUGGCUUGAUAAGCCGGUUGUGAAAGCCCCGGGCUCAACCUGGGAACGGCAUCCGGAACUGUCAAGCUAGAGUGCAGGAGAGGAAGGUAGAAUUCCCGGUGUAGCGGUGAAAUGCGUAGAGAUCGGGAGGAAUACCAGUGGCGAAGGCGGCCUUCUGGACUGACACUGACACUGAGGUGCGAAAGCGUGGGUAGCAAACAGGAUUAGAUACCUGUGGUAGUCCA